UUAUAAAGCUGUGUGCCUCUGCUAUAAGUUAACACAGAACUUAUUUUAUAGUGGCGAGGCUGUGACCCAUAACAGUGCCCACAUAACGGAGGAGCCACCAGACCCCUUGGCCAUGCCUGCCGUAGUGCAACGUGUAAUCUGGAUGGUCGGGUCAGGUACACCUAGGAAAUGUUGUAUACAUUGGCAACGAUAACUGGGGCCUGCUCCAGUGCCAUCGCCGGGAUUCCCUGUUCUGCAAAGAACUGGCAUAACUGAUGUGGGGAGCCCUGGCGCUCGGCGUAGGAGCGUCACAGGGGCUCCUUGUCGGUGCUUGAAGGACGGCAGUGCUGUUGAGAAGCCGACAUUGAGCCCCGAUAAAUUGGAAGCUGUGGGUAGUUACCGCAUUAUUGGCUUGGAAACUAGUGAGGUCUGGAUGCAAGUGAAGCUACCGAGGGAGGCAUGUGUGCAUCACUUGUGCUGCUGGCCAUCCUCUGCAAAAGUGAUGGCUGGCUGUCAGUGCUUGGAUGACUUUCUGUUACUCUACGCCUUGGGCUGUGUUGACUACUUCACACUUGCUGCCAUGUCUGCAAGUUACUGUGUUGUGUUACUGUGUUGUGUUGUUGGUAUGUUACUGUGUUGUGUUGUACAUUACAAAGUGAAGGAGGACAGUAUUUGUGCUUUUAUUAAGAAGUAUAAAUUGUGUUCUGCCAUUUAAAAUAAGGGAACUCGACAAAAAGCAAAAAAUUUCGAAGUCUGACCUACAUGGGAAAGCAAAAUAUAUUGUGUUGUAGUUGUAGCUGUUAGUAGAGUCUUAAUAUGCGAUAGAAGACCUUGAUGUUUAAUAGAAAAUAUAUUUAAGUGUGUUAUCAGUGUGUUAUCAGUUUUUAAGUUACUGUUAUAUAAGUGUCAUUUGUUUGCCAGGAUGAUGUAAGCAGACAGUAAAUAAAUGCAUGGU